AACUUCAACUGCUGCAAUCAUUGCUUUUCCACUACUUUUUCUUUUCUCUUUUCUAUGGAUCUCAAGAAGAAACACAAACUCGAAGAAAACAGCACCAGAAGCUGGUAUUAUUGGUCAUCUCCGCCUCUUAGGAGGAUCACAACCACCUCACAUAAGCUUGGCUAACAUGGCUGACAAAUAUGGAAGAAUCUUCAGUAUCAAGUUGGGUGUGCAUAGAGCUUUGGUGGUGAGCAAUUGGGAGAUUGCUAAAGAAUGUCUCACCAUAAAUGAUAAAGCAUUCGCCUCUCGUCCAAUGCUUGCAUGCUCGGAAAUUAUGGGUUACAACGGUGCCAUGAUUGGCUUUGCGCCAUAUGGACCUUAUUGGCGUCAAGUGCGUAAGAUUGUCAUUAUUGAGCUCCUCUCAAAUCACCGACUUGAAUUGCUUAAACCUCUGAGGGAAUCCGAGAUAAAGACAUCUCUGCAACAGUUAUACCAGCUGUGGAACAAGAAGAAAAGUACUAACUCCGAUAAAGUAUUGGUGGAGAUGAAGGGAUGGUUCAAAGAAGUUACUCUGAAUGUUAUUAUGAGGAUGAUUGUAGGGAAGCGACUUCCAAAUUCCAGUGAAGGAGGUGAAAACUUGAAAAGGAAGAAAUAUUUGGAUGACUUCUUUGAACUGAGUGGAAAGUUCCUAAUAUCAGAUGCGUUGCCGUUUUUAAGAUGGUUGGACAUAGGUGGAGACAUGAAGUGCAUGAAGAAGACAGCGAAAGAAUUGGACCAAGUUGUGCAGGGAUGGCUACGAGAGCACAAGCAGAAGAGAGCUGAAAAUAAGGCAAAUAGUGAGGAAGAUUUCAUGGGAGUGAUGCUGUCUAUUCUCAGUGAUGCGGAGGAACUCCAUGUUGAUACAAUCAAUAAAGCCAUCAGUCUCGUACGUGCAUCUCUCUUAACCAAACUGAUUGCCAUUAAUAUCAUACAGAAGUUGGAAAUGCUAUUAAUUCAUUGUUGAUUGCCAUUAAUAACAUACAGAAGUUGGAAAUGCUAUUAAUUCAUUGAUUGCCAUUAACAACGUCAGUUACUCUGACAUGGGCUUUGUCUUGUUACUCAAUAAUCGUGACACAUUAAGUAAGGUCCAACAAGAACUAGAUGUUAAGGUUGGUAAGGAUAGGUUGGUAGUGACGGAAUCAGACACCAAAAGCUUAGUGUACCUUCAAUCCAUUAUUAAGGAAACGCUACGCUUAUACCCUGCUCUUCCACUAUCCCUGAUCCAUGAAGCCAUUGAAGACUGCACAGUUAAUGGAUAUCAUGUUUCAGCUGGCACUUGGCUUAUUAUAAAUCUUCAUAAGAUUCAUCGUGAUCCACUUAUAUGGGCAAAUCCCUCUAAAUUUCAACCUGAAAGAUUUAUGACCACACAUAAAGAUGUUGAUGUGAGGGGACAAAAUUUUGAACUGAUUCCAUUUGGAAGUGGUAGAAGAAUGUGUCCCGGACUUUCAUUUGCACUUCAGAAUUUGUCACUUAUACUAGCUAAUGUGUUACAUUGGUUUGAGUUUGAGACCUCGUUCGAUGAAGCCGUUGAUAUGCGUGAAGCACCUGGCCUGACGAGUUCUAAAGCAACUCCAUUAGAAGUUCAUAUAACUCCUCGUAAUCCUACUUAUGUUUAGCAAUUAUUAUAAGAAUUAACUUUUUAGUAUUAUUACUAUUUAUAUCUUUUUUGUGGAUAUCAAAAUUGUUAGUAUAUUGCUUAUUUAUCGAACAAUUAUUAUAUACACGAUCAAAAAUAAAUAUUUGGGCUACUUGGUGCUGUUGGUGCAAUUGAUUUUACUGAUUUAAUAUUUUUAUUUUAUUUUUUAUUUUUGAAUAAAUAAUUUUAUUCAAAACAUGCAUCUCAGUAGUUGUGUUGAAAGAAUAUCAACGUACUAAAGCAUAUGAGAACGAUGGUCAAUUGGAACCUUACCCCUGUAUUGGUGGAUAUCAACGUACUACUAAAGAAUUAAGUUGGAGGUGUUUACUGGGCACUUCUAACAAAAUUUGAGAGAGUUCAUUUCAUAAACAUAUAGUUUUAACUAAAUGAUAAAUUUAGAGUUGUUAUGCCUCUACCACUUCUCAAUUUACUCCUCACGAAAGCUCCACUUAUUAUUCGAACAUAUCUUUCGGGAACACUUCUCUACUUAACAGUUAUAUUAGUUUAUGUGAGCCUCACUUAUUAAUUGUCACUAUUCAUCUUUACUACCGUAUUUCAUCUCAAGUGAUUAAAAGCACUAUCAAUCCCCAUUCUACCUACACAUAUGGUGAUAGACAAUAUGGCCCCUUUUCUUGACUUGUUAAUAGAGACGUGACACGUGUAUCUCAAAAUUGUAGCUAAGGGUUUAAAAUACCUCAAAAUUGACUAGAAAAUGGCGCUCUCUCUCUCUUCCCCCCUCUCCCUCCCUCUCUCUCUUAAUAUACAUCAUCUACAUAAAUAGAACAUAAAAUUCAACGGUUGACUUAUUAAGAUAUUAAUUGUAUAAAAAAAUUAUAAAAAGUAUAAUAUCACUAUAAUUUUUGAUAAAUUAUAAAUAGCACGAGUCAAACCAAAAUCUCACAUAAGACAUUAAACACCCUUAACCAUCAAACCAAUACAUAAAGUUUAAUAUCAUUAUAAUUUUAUACUAAUAUAAGUGUAUCAUUUCCCUAUAUUUAAUGAUGAUAAUAAUAGACAAGAAUAUUAAUUUCGUGGAAAACAAUAAGUGAACGAAUUUCCUUUUUCAUCUUCAUUUUUUAUUUGGAAAUAAAAAUGUGUUCCACGAAGAUUACCAGGCUGGUUUUGUUAAUGUAGAAAAUAACGUUCUGUUUGUUUUACGAAAAAUGUAUUCAAAGUUUGAUUCAUGGAAAAUAGUUUGAUCAAUGGAAAAUGACUUAUAAGUCAACUGAAAAUAAGUCAUUUUUCUUGUAAAAUGACUUAGCGUAAAUCAUUUUUUCGGAGAAGAACUCAUUUAUAGGUAAUUUUACUUUCAUAUAAAAAAUAACUUUUAGUCAAGCUUAAUAUUAUUAUAUUAAUAAUAAAUUUUAUUUUUAUUUUUAAAAAUAUUUAAAAUAAAUAAAAUAUUAAUAUAACAUAUUAUAAUUUUUAAUAUUAUUAAACAUACAUAUUUAAUUAUCUCUAUCUAAUCAUAUAAUAAAUUAUUAUUUAAUAAAUUAAUUUUAUUUUAAUAAUAAAUUUUGAAAAUAAUAAUUUUAAAUAAUUUCAUAUAUUAUUGAAAAAAUUCAAUAUUAAUAUUUUGAUAACAAAUAUUUAUUACAAUUAUAAAUAUAUUAAUAAUAAAUGUUUUGUAGUAUAAAGUUUAAAAUAUGUCAUAAGUCUAUGUACUCUUUACAAAUUCAGAAUUAUAAAGUUUAAAUAUUUAGCCCAUCUACUCUUCAGAUUUGAAAAUCAAGUCCAAUUGUUAACAUUGCUUAAUUUUUUUUGUUAAUUUUGUCGAUUUUAAAUUUUCAAACAAAAAAUAUUCACUUGAUAGUCAUUUAACUAAAAAAUGAGGUUAUAAUUAACCUGAAUUUAAUAGAAUAUUUUUAGUAGUAGUAACUGUUGAGCCUGAAUUUAAUAUCUAAAAAGUAAAACUAAAUUUUCAAAAAUAAAAGUAAAUGGGCUAAAUAAUAUAAUUUUAUAAUAUGAUUCCACAAAUCUAUUAUUUAUGUUAUUUUAGAUAUUUAGUUAGCGAGAGAUGGUAGUGGAUCGUCAAGGAAAAGUGGUUUGCAAUAUUUGUCUUUGGGUUAAUUUAAUUAAUUGUCCCUAGAGUAUUAAUUAGACUUCAAAUUAGUUCCUAAAUUUUAAAAUAUUUUAUUUAAAUUCUUAAAAUAUUGGUAUCGAACAAAUCAUAUCAUUACCUCAACUUAACCGCUAAUUUAGAUGUUGAAUAAUAGUUUGAAUUUGACAUAGAGCAUAUUCAAAUUACGAGCAACAAAUUAUAAACACAUGUAAACUUAUCACAUAAACAUGUUGGAUAUGAAAAAUAAACGGUAUAAAAGAAUUUAGAAGUGUAAUUUUUUUAAGUUGUUAUUGUUUGUAUUCUAGCUUAAUAAUUGAGUAAUAUUAUAUAUUUAAUUUGAUGUAUUUAUUUAUAAAUAAAUUAUUGUAAUAUAUGAAAAAAAACAUAAAAUAUAUAUUUAUAGAUAUAAAAUAAAUUCAAUUAAAUAAUGAAAAUAUAAAAGAAUCUUAAAUGUAUUAAUUGAAAACAAUUUUUAUGAAAUAUUUUCAGGAAAAUUACUAAAUAAUCGAAAAUAUUUAUACUGAUUUAUUUGAACACCAUAAAAAAUUAAAUUUUUUAUAAAAAUAAAUCAUUUUUCAAAAAUCUUUUUUUUUUGGAAAUCAUUUUCAAGAAAAUAAAUGGAGCCCAAGAUUGGAAUUAGUAUAACCUGUCGUCUUUCUUCACAUCGCAGUACUUCGUUGAUUUUCUUAUAUGGCUUAAAAAUUCCAAUAUCAGUAACGUAUGUUAGUGAAAGAUCAAUAUACGAUAAUUACGUCAACAACACAACAAUGCAUAUAUAUGCAUUGUCUGUAUCUUAGAUUGAAAGUAGAAAUUUGGCGAUGGAUUAUUCCCAUUCACUCACAGCAACUUCAGCUGUUGCAAUCAUUGCUUUUCCACUACUAUUUCUUUUCUCUUUUCUAUGGAUCUCAAGAAGAAACACAAACUCGAAGAAAACAGCACCAGAAGCUGGUGGAGCAUGGCCUAUUAUUGGUCAUCUCCGCCUCUUAGGAGGAUCACAACCACCUCACAUAAGCUUGGCUAACAUGGCUGACAAAUAUGGAGGAAUCUUCAGUAUCAAGUUGGGUGUGCAUAGAGCUUUGGUGGUGAGCGAUUGGGAGAUUGCAAAAGAAUGUCUCACCGUAAAUGAUAAAGAGUUUGCCUCUCGUCCAA
rnacentral:lncRNA from 1 species